CACAUUCCCAUAACCUCAGUAUAUAAGGUAUGCUGAGGAGGCCUCAAGCCAUUCCAGGCUCUUCUGUGCCUGUGGGACUACAUUCUCUGUGCCGGGCUUAGAGAACACGAAGAGGGAGCCAUCUGCCACACUCUGGAGGCUGAAGCCUGCACCAGUGCUGCUCGCCUCACUGUGGUAGGUGGUGGUGAUGGAAACUGCAGAUCGGCCAGAGUGGUAGAAAAGUUGCUGCAGGGUUUUUCUGGCUUUGCCUGCCCAGCUGCUCCAUGCCUGGCUAGAGGAGAAGGAGGAGCCACAUGUGGUACACUGGAGGCUGGAGCCUGCAGAUGGCAUGGCUCUGCGGCUCACCUUGCUGCAGUUGGUGGUGGUGACAGAGACUGCAGCUUGACUGUAGUGAAUUUGGAAAUUAUCUGUCUGGAAGCUCUGAGUUUAUCUUGGGACCUCAAGAGGAGAGGAUCACCCAACUCACAGCAAUCAAACUCCAAAUGGUGCUAUAAACUGAACCACACAUGGACACGUCAGUCUUCCGAGGACCCUUAGAUCAACCCCAGGAGGAGCCCUAGCUGCUGUUCCCCAUUCGACGCCCCUUUCCAGCAGGAAGUAGCCAGAAGACAUCGUCGCCCAAACCUCUAACAGCAGUUAGUGCGGCAUCUCCACAGGGGGGAAUGUUGUAGGAGUUAUUGAUAAAUUAUUUUAGGCAGAUAGAGAGGAAAAGGGGUCCUUAGGAAGUUUUUGUUUUUUAAAGCACGUCUGGAAAAGUUUCUUGUAAAGCUCCAGCUCUUAAAGCCAGGCCAGUUACCCGAUAUCCAAAUGCCAGCCAUUAGAAAGUGGGUCCACCCAAACAUGGCGAUUCCUGUGGACUUCUUGCCCUUUCCCCACAUUCCUGGAUACAUGGACACCCCGAAGUAUCCCCACCUGUGUAGAAGAUCAUGGUGCCCUGCAUUUGCAUAUUAAAAGGCUAGGGUGGGAGAGCCAGCUUUUCCUGCGGGCUACGUGAAUGACAUGCCUAGUCAAACCAAUCCCCUGAGCCUGUGCAAAUCAGACACUGCCUCCUCCAGCCUCUGUAUAUAUACCUAGCUGGUAUCUGUGGCAGGUGGGGUUCCCUCUCUUGGCUUUGGAGCCCCCCUUCCUCUGUCUCUGUACAGGGGAGCUUCUUCCUUUUCCCUUCCCUCUUGCUUCUUCUUGCCUAUUAAACUCUCUCUGCUCCUUAAAAAUAAAAAAAACUAUAUUUGAAACAUUUCUAUAAUUACAUGACUGGUCGUUUAUAACUAAAUGACUGGAAUUCUCAGAAGAGAAAGCCAUUUAUUCAGAGCCAAGCUAUUCAGGUAAGUAUGGCUAUCCUGUUCUUUGAAGUGGUUCACUUCAACUCAACAAACUGCCAAUAUAAAUAUGACCUUGCUCUCUCCUUCCCAGCAGACAGGCCCAACUAACACACGUCCUUCUCCAAUUCCCCACCUUAAACAAUUCCUGUAUCUCACAGAAUGGCAACUGUGGCCACAAGAGAAAAAUAUAUACACUUGUGGGCUUUUCUAAAGAAAUAUAGUUAGAGCUAACUGGUUUGGUGAUUUUGUAUGUAUGUGAUUGCUGAAGAUGAAGGUUCAAAAAGGAGGAAAUCAGGACCUGAGCCUGGAAGGAUAAUGAAGAAUAGUUACUGGGGAAGAAUCCUGGGCACACUGUUAUGCUAGCCCUGCUCUAAUUAGAUUUAAAUGUUCUGCGAGUGUUAACAUGAACUAAACCCUACACAGAAAAUUUAAAAAAAAAACAAAAAAAACAAUGUUUCAGGUAGUUCCACAAGUAAGAAAAACUGGAUUUGGAUUUUGUAUAUGGCCAUAGUAAAAAAAUUCCAAGAAAGCUUUGGUUUCUUUUUUAAAGCUGACAAAGAUGUCCCCUUUGCCUUCAAGUCUUAAUUUUAGAAGGGUGACGAUUAAAAUUGUAUUUUCCAAGCACCCCUGGGAACCAGCUUGGAGCUGUUAACUCCAACCAAGGUGGAUGGAGUUAACAAACACAUUUCACUCUGGAAAUCACCUAAAUUAGAGGGAGAAUGAAUGGAUCUUGCCAAAAGGACUCAAACAGGCAAUAACUUUACAAUUAAAAAGAGAAAAGUGUCAAUAGCAAUAUAAGAAAGACAAAAUUGCAUCAGGACACACAUUGCAAAUAUGAGCUCACAAAAGGAAGCAGGUAGUAGAUCUUCACCUAUUUGUCCUACUGAGAGGGACAGAGAAUAUAUAAAGAGUAGUUAAAGAGUGAGAAUUUAAUGUAUUUUUCUCCUCAUUUUACCUGAGAGACAAAUGGGCUAAGAAAAGAUGGUACAAGCCAGAACAUUUUUGUUCUGACGGCUCUGCUCAAAUUAGCGUGUUUCAUAACCUUGAAGUACUAGGGUAAUUAUUCUGGCCUGACUAAUUUAAAUUAUAAUAUCAACAAGAUUCCAAGACUGAGUCUUAAAACGGCAGGGUUUCCAAACUGCGGCUUUCCAGUCCUCUUCUUCCGAGUGACUGCAGACAUACAGCUGGAGAGAAAGUGAGGAGAAAAAUACCAUGCAGGAGGACUUGACCUGCAGACAGCUGGCCUAGACGGGGCUCAUCAGAGAGAACACCAGCCACUCCACUCCCAGAACCACGGUGGCUGUUUACAGAGCAUUCACUGUGCACCAGACACUGUCCUAAGAGCACUGAUCCAUGGUCUCCUUAAAACACACCUUGAGACACCUAUCUUCACAAGUAAGAAAACAGAAGCCAAGAGAGUCACACAACUCAUAGGUUUGCUUUAACCCUGGCAGUCUGGUUCCUGAGCCCAUGCUCUUAAAGCGCUAUGAUAUAUUGCCUCAUGCCCCGAAAUUCUGUCAAAUACAUUCUAAAAAGGUUUAUAUUUAAAUAUCAGCAUCCUUGAUGUGACAGAACCUAAAUAUGUAGAAAAUCUUGAGAGAAAGGUCUCAUUAUUUCCUGAUGCCACCCAUGAGCACUUGUACCCAACUUACACGGCUUCCGUUCUGUGGAGCACACUUUACAAGCAGUCACGACUGUGCCCAUCUAGCUGGAAGUAGAGGGCAGAGAUCAGUGGCUUCGUCUCACAGGGCCGUAGUCUGGUACUGCCAACGGUGGCUUGGCCCAGCUGUGACCGGGACACUCAUGACCAGGACAGGCACUCAUGUAACGACCAAGAGCCUCUUCCCAUCAGGGCACAACAGUGCUCACAAUGCUUGGUUGCUGCUGGAGUUCCUGUCUUGGCGUGAUACUGGGAGGAAAAAGUGCCCAAGAGUUCUGUGCUUAGGGAUGCUUUCUGGGUGGUCUCCAAGUGCCUGUGGUAACCCCUUCAAACAGUAGCCUUCACAUAUUUAAGGGGCUCCUAACUAUGCAUAUUUCUACACUUUCGCCAAGAAAAAAUCCUGUCAGCUCCAGGAUGAGUUCAAAUAUAUAUGUGUACAAAGCUGCAAGUUCAUAUCCUGUUAUUUUGUAAUACAUAAUGAACAUAUAAUCCAACCAGACCUUCAUUUAAAAAUCAGCAUACUCAUGGCCUCACCUGUUUAACCCUUGAAUGCCCUUUUGGAUGUACAAUUAAUAUAAUUAUUUGAAAACAUGAUUGAGAGCAAUUGGUUGGCAGUUUGACUAUACCUGUAAGCCAACCUUGCAAAGACGAAAUCUCAUUCUGGCUCCCUUUCCUAAGGCCCUAGGGUGAAAUCGUUGGUGUAUCAUUUAAUUUCAUAAAUACAGGGGAUUACCAGGCAAUUAAAAAGUAGAAUUAUUUUAAAGCUUGGAAGAAGAAGAAUAGGUACAUCUUUUCUUUGAGUCUAUUUUAUAUAUUGCUUGACACCAAGCAAAGGUGCCCAAUAAAAUGAAACUAUGGCUGUUUGAUCAAUGGCUGAGUAUGAUCCAAAUUUAAUGAAACUCAAAGAAUGAAUGAAUGAAGAAACUAUUAAUUGAAUAUUUGUAAGAGUUUUUUCCAUUCAUUCAUCCAUUCUAUCUGUGCCUAAAUGCCUAAUGUGAAUUUCAGGAAGGCAAAACAAACAAACAACCCCAAAAAAGAAAAAACAUGUUAUUUAUUAGGAAGAUGUUAUAUAUCAAGC
rnacentral:lncRNA from 1 species